ACGGGAGGCAGCAGUGGGGAAUAUUAGGCAAUGGGGGCAACCCUGACCUAGCAACGCCGCGUGAAGGAUGAAGGUUUUCGGGUUGUAAACUUCUUUGGCAGAGGAAGAUAAUGACGGUACCCUGAGAACAAGCAAAGGAUAACUACAUGCAAGCAGCCGCGGUAAUACGUAGGUGGCGAGCGUUGUCCGGAUUUACUGGGUAUAAAGGGCGAGUAGGCGGGAAUGCAAGUCAGAUGUGAAAUACCGAGGCUUAACUUCGGAGCUGCAUUUGAAACUGCAUUUCUUGAGUGAUGGAGAGGCAGGCGGAAUUCCCGGUGUAGCGGUGAAAUGCAUAGAGAUCGGGAGGAACCCCAGUGGCGAAGGCGGCCUGCUGGACAUUAACUGACGCUGAGGCGCGAAAGUGUGGGGAGCAAACAGGAUUAGAUACCCUGGUA
rnacentral:rRNA from 1 species